rnacentral:rRNA from 1 species
UGUGACCUCAAAUCAGGUAGGACUACCCGCUGAACUUAAGCAUAUCAAUAAGCGGAGGAAAAGAAACUAACAAGGAUUCCCCUAGUAACUGCGAGUGAAGCGGGAAAAGCUCAAAUUUAAAAUCUGGCAGUCUUUGGCUGUCCGAGUUGUAAUCUAGAGAAGUGUUAUCCGCGCUGGACCGUGUACAAGUCUCCUGGAAUGGAGCGUCAUAGAGGGUGAGAAUCCCGUCUUUGACACGGACUACCAGGGCUUUGUGAUGCGCUCUCAAAGAGUCGAGUUGUUUGGGAAUGCAGCUCAAAAUGGGUGGUAAAUUCCAUCUAAAGCUAAAUAUUGGCGAGAGACCGAUAGCGAACAAGUACCGUGAGGGAAAGAUGAAAAGAACUUUGGAAAGAGAGUUAAACAGUACGUGAAAUUGCUGAAAGGGAAACGCUUGAAGUCAGUCGCGUCGUCCAGGGAUCAACCUUGCUUUUGCUUGGUGCACUUUCUGGUUGACGGGUCAGCAUCAAUUUUGACCAUUGGAAAAAGAUCAAGGGAAUGUGACAUCUUUGGAUGUGUUAUAGCCCUUGGUUGCAUACG